AUACGGAGGGUCCAAGCGUUAUCCGGAAUCAUUGGGUUUAGAGGGUCCGCAGGCGGUCAAUUAAGUCAGAGGUGAAAGCCCAUCGCUCAACGAUGGAACUGCCUUUGAUACUGGUUGACUUGAGUUAUACGGAAGUAGAUAGAAUAAGUAGUGUAGCGGUGAAAUGCAUAGAUAUUACUUAGAAUACCGAUUGCGAAGGCAGUCUACUACGUAUAUACUGACGCUGAGGGACGAAAGCGUGGGGAGCGCACAGGAUUAGAUACCCUAGUAGUCC
rnacentral:rRNA from 1 species